GACCUGCUUGGAGACACAGAGGGGGGACAUGGAGAAGACUGGCAGUGCCCAGCUCCGAGGCCCAAGGCCUUCCAACUGUUAGCCCUAGACAGCAGGAGCUGGUAAGGGCUUCACUCAGGCAGAAAUUCUUGCUUCACUACUUGCUGGCUGGUGCCCUGCAGGUCCAACCUUUGACUGACAACAGACAUCUGUGCUGCCUACAUUCAGACAACACGGGGCGUAGGAAAGUGAUAUGCUGAUCCUCAUAAUCAUAUGGAAAUACAAGGGACCCGCAAUAGCCAAAACACUCUUGAAAAGGAAGAACAAAGUUGGAAGGACUCAUACUUUGCAGUUUCAAAACUUAUGGCAAAACUCCCAUAAUCAAGACAUUGUAAAGAUAAAUAUAAAUCAAGGGAAUAAAAUUGAGCGUCCAGAAGUAAUUCCAUACAUUUAUCGUCUGUGAUUUUCAGCAAAGGUCUCGAGAUAAUUCAAUGGAAGAAAGGAAGUUUCUUUAAUAAAUGGAG